rnacentral:sRNA from 1 species
AUAUCAAUAAGCGGAGGAAAAGAAACCAACAGGGAUUGCCCUAGUAACGGCGAGUGAAGCGGCAACAGCUCAAAUUUGAAAUCUGGCUCUUUCAGAGUCCGAGUUGUAAUUUGCAGAGGGCGCUUUGGCGUUGGCAGCGGUCCAAGUUCUUUGGAACAGGACGUCACAGAGGGUGAGAAUCCCGUACGUGGUCGCUAACCUUCGCCGUGUAAAGCCCCUUCGACGAGUCGAGUUGUUUGGGAAUGCAGCUCUAAAUGGGAGGUAAAUUUCUUCUAAAGCUAAAUACUGGCCAGAGACCGAUAGCGCACAAGUAGAGUGAUCGAAAGAUGAAAAGCACUUUGGAAAGAGAGUCAAAUAGCACGUGAAAUUGUUGAAAGGGAAGCGCUUGCAGCCAGACUUGCCUGUAGUUGCUUAUCCGGACUUUUGUCCGGUGCACUCUUCUGCAGGCAGGCCAGCAUCAGUUUGGGCGGUUGGAUAAAGGUCUCUAUCACGUACCUCCCUCCGGGGUUGGCCUUAUAGGGGAGACGUCAUGCAACCAGCCUGGACUGAGGUCCGCGCAUCUGCUAGGAUGCUGGCGUAAUGGCUGUAAGCGGCCCGUCUUGAAACACGGACCAAGGAGUCUAACAUCUAUGCGAGUGUUUGGGUGUCAAGCCCAGACGCGUAAUGAAAGUGAACGGAGGUGGGAACCUUUUAGGUGCACCAUCGACCGAUCCUGAUGUCUUCGGAUGGAUUUGAGUAAGAGCAUGGCUGUUGGGACCCGAAAGAUGGUGAACUAUGCUUGAAUAGGGUGAAGCCAGAGGAAACUCUGGUGGAGGCUCGCAGCGGUUCUGACGUGCAAAUCGAUCGUCAAAUUUGGGCAUAGGGCGAAAGAC